GACGAACGCUGGCUGCGUGCUUAACACAUGCAAGUCGAACGCUGAAACCCUGGUGCUUGCACCGGGGUGGAUGAGUGGCGAACGGGUGAGUAACACGUGAGUAACCUGCCCCCGACUUCGGGAUAAGCCCGGGAAACUGGGUCUAAUACCGGAUAUGAGCGCCCCUCGCAUGAGGGAUGCUGGAAAGUCUUUUCGGUUGGGGAUGGGCUCGCGGCCUAUCAGUUUGUUGGUGAGGUAAUGGCUCACCAAGACGACGACGGGUAGCCGGCCUGGGAGGGCGACCGGCCACACUGGGACUGAGACACGGCCCAGACUCCUACGGGAGGCAGCAGUGGGGAAUAUUGCACAAUGGGGGAGACCCUGAUGCAGCGACGCAGCGUGCGGGAUGACGGCCUUCGGGUUGUAAACCGCUUUCAGCAGGGAAGAAGCCCCUUGGGGUGACGGUACCUGCAGAAGAAGUACCGGCUAACUACGUGCCAGCAGCCGCCGUAA
rnacentral:rRNA from 1 species